UACGUAGGUGGCAAGCGUUGUCCGGAAUUACUGGGUGUAAAGGGAGCGUAGGCGGGAGAUCAAGUUGGACGUUAAAUUCAUCGGCUCAACCGGUGCAAGCGUUCAAAACUGGUUUUCUUGAGUGGAGUAGAGGUAAGCGGAAUUCCUAGUGUAGCGGUGAAAUGCGUAAAUAUUAGGAGGAACACCAGUGGCGAAGGCGGCUUACUGGGCUUUAACUGACGCUGAGGCUCGAAAGCGUGGGUAGCAAACAG
rnacentral:rRNA from 1 species